AAAAGAAACUAACAAGGAUUCCCCUAGUAACGGCGAGUGAACCGGGAAGAGCUCAAAUUUGAAAUCUGGCGUCCUCAGGGCGUCCGAGUUGUAAUCUAUAGAGGCGUUUUCCGUGCCGGACCGUGUCCAAGUUCCUUGGAACAGGAUAUCAAAGAGGGUGACAAUCCCGUACUUGACACGACGACCGGUGCUCUGUGAUACGUCUUCUACGAGUCGAGUUGUUUGGGAAUGCAGCUCAAAAUGGGUGGUGAGUUCCAUCUAAAGCUAAAUAUUGGCGAGAGACCGAUAGCGAACAAGUACCGUGAGGGAAAGAUGAAAAGCACUUUGGAAAGAGAGUUAAACAGUACGUGAAAUUGUUGAAAGGGAAACGAUUGAAGUCAGUCGUGACCGAGAGGCUCAGCCGGUUCUGCCGGUGUAUUCCCCUCGGUCGGGUCAACAUCAGUUUUGUCCGGUGGAUAAGGGCGGUAGGAAGGUGGCACCCUCGGGUGUGUUAUAGCCUGCCGUCGCAUACAUCGGGUGAGACUGAGGAACGCAGCUCGCCUUUAUGGCCGGGGUUCGCCCACGU
rnacentral:rRNA from 1 species